UGUCGGUAAAACUCGUGCCAGCCACCGCGGUUAUACGAGAGACCCUAGUUGAUAAAUACGGCGUAAAGAGUGGUUUGGGGUAACCAUAAAUUAAAGCUAAAGACCUUCUAAGCCGUUACACGCACACCGAAGAUACGAAGCCCUAAUACGAAAGUAGCUUUAUUAUUAGCCCGACGCCACGAAAGCUAAGAAACAAACUGGGAUUAGAUACCCCACUAUGG
rnacentral:rRNA from 1 species